rnacentral:rRNA from 1 species
GAUGAACGCUGGCGGCGUGCCUAAUACAUGCAAGUCGAGCGAACAGACGAAAAGCUUGCUCCUCUGACGUUAGCGGAGGACGGGUGAGUAACACGUGGAUAACCUACCUAUAAGACUGGGAUAACUUCGGGAAACCGGCGCUAAUACCGGAUAAUAUAUUGAACCGCAUGGUUCAAGAGUGAAAGACGGUUUUGCUGUCACUUAUAGAUGGAUCCGCGCCGCAUUAGCUAGUUGGUAAGGUAACGGCUUAACAAGGGAACGAGGCGUAGCAGACCUGAGAGGGUGAGCGGCCACACGGGAACGUAGACACGGUCCAGACUCCUGCGGGAGGCAGCAGUAGGGAGUCUUGCGCAAUGGGCGAAUACCGGACGGAGCAACGCCGCGUGAGGGAUGAAGGUCUUCGGAUCGUAAAACUCUGUUAUUAGGGAAGAACAAAUGGGUAAGUAACUAUGCACGUUUUGACGGUACCUAAUCAGAAAGCCACGGCUAACUACGUG